rnacentral:rRNA from 1 species
UACGUAGGUGGCAAGCGUUGUCCGGAAUUACUGGGUGUAAAGGGCGUGUAGGCGGGAAUGUAAGUCAGAUGUGAAAUUCCGGGGCUCAACCCCGGCGCUGCAUCUGAAACUAUGUUUCUUGAGUGCUGGAGAGGAAAGCGGAAUUCCUAGUGUAGCGGUGAAAUGCGUAGAUAUUAGGAGGAACACCAGUGGCGAAGGCGGCUUUCUGGACAGUAACUGACGCUGAGGCGCGAAAGCGUGGGGAGCAAACAGG